rnacentral:rRNA from 1 species
UUCCGGUUGAUCCCGCCGGACCCCACUGCUAUCGAGGUGGGACUAAGCCAUGCCAGUCGAACGACCCGGACUAUGGCGGGGAGUGGCAGACUGCUCAGUAACACGUAGCUAACCUACCCUCGGGACGGGGAUAACCCCGGGAAACUGGGGCUAAUACCCGAUAGGUGUGGAUUCCUGGAAUGGUGUUAUGCCUAAACGUAAGCGCAUCCAUGUUUGUGUGCACGCCCGAGGAUGGGGCUGCGGCCGAUCAGGCAGUUGGUGAGGUAACGGCUCACCAAACCUCUGACCGGUACGGGCCAUGAGAGUGGUAGCCCGGAGAUGGGCACUGAGACAAGGGCCCAGGCCCUACGGGGCGCAGCAGGCGCGAAACCUCCACAAUUCACGCAAGUGAGAUGGGGCUACCUCGAGUGCCGCCUGAAGAAGGCGGCUUUUCCAUGGUGUAAUGAGCCGUGGGAAUAAGGGGGGGGCAAGACUGGUGUCAGCCGCCGCGGUAACACCAGCCCCCCGAGUGGUGGGGAUGAUUAUUUGGCCUAAAGCGUCCGUAGCCGGCUCGGUAAAUCUCUCGUUAAAUCCAGCGUCCCAAGCGUUGGGCUGCGAGGGAGACUGCCGAGCUAGAGGGUGGGAGAGGUCAGCGGUAUUCCUGGGGUAGGGGCGAAAUCCAUUGAUCCCAGGAGGACCACCAGUGGCGAAGGCUGCUGACUAGAACACGCCUGACGGUGAGGGACGAAAGCUGGGGUAGCGAAUCGGAUUAGAUACCCGAGUAGUCCCAGCCGUAAACGAUGCAGGCUAGGUGUUGGGUCGGCCACGCGCCGCCUCAGUGCCACAGGGAAGCCAUUAAGCCUGCCGCCUGGGGAGUACGGCCGCAAGGCUGAAACUUAAAGGAAUUGGCGGGGGAGCACCACCAGGCGUGAAGCCUGCGGUUUAAUUGGAUUCAACGCCGGG